rnacentral:rRNA from 1 species
CUACGGGAGGCUGCAGUGAGGAAUAUUGCACAAUGGGGGGAACCCUGAUGCAGCAACGCCGCGUGGAGGAUGACGCAUUUCGGUGUGUAAACUCCUUUUAUAUGUCAAGAAAAUGACGGUAGCAUAUGAAUAAGCACCGGCUAACUCCGUGCCAGCAGCCGCGGUAAUACGGAGAGGUGCAAGCGUUACUCGGAAUCACUGGGCGGAAAGGACGCGUAGGCGGGUUGGAAAGUCAGGUGUGAAAUCCUACAGCUUAACUGUAGAACUGCACUUGAAACUUCUAAUCUAGAGUAUGGGAGGGGGAGAUGGAAUUAGUGGUGUAGGGGUAAAAUCCGUAGAUAUCACUAGGAAUACCUAAAGCGAAGGCGAUCUCCUGGAACAUUACUGACGCUAAGGCGUGAAAGCGUGGGGAGCAAACAGGAUUAGAUACCCCUGUAGUC